CACGUAGGGGGCGAGCGUUGUCCGGAUUUAUUGGGCGUAAAGAGCUCGUAGGCGGCUCGGUAAGUCGGGUGUGAAAUUUCGAGGCUCAACCUCGAAACGCCACCCGAUACUGCUGUGGCUAGAGUCCGGUAGGGGAGCGUGGAAUUCCUGGUGUAGCGGUGAAAUGCGCAGAUAUCAGGAAGAACACCCGUGGCGAAAGCGGCUCUCUGGAACGGUACUGACGCUGAGACGCGAAAGCGUGGGGAGCGAACAGG
rnacentral:rRNA from 1 species